rnacentral:rRNA from 1 species
UCGAGCGGAUGAAGGGAGCUUGCUCCUGGAUUCAGCGGCGGACGGGUGAGUAAUGCCUAGGAAUCUGCCUGGUAGUGGGGGAUAACGUUCCGAAAGGAACGCUAAUACCGCGUACGUCCUACGGGAGAAAGCAGGGGACCUUCGGGCCUUGCGCUAUCAGAUGAGCCUAGGUCGGAUUAGCUAGUUGGUGAGGUAAUGGCUCACCAAGGCGACGAUCCGUAACUGGUCUGAGAGGAUGAUCAGUCACACUGGAACUGAGACACGGUCCAGACUCCUACGGGAGGCAGCAGUGGGGAAUAUUGGACAAUGGGCGAAAGCCUGAUCCAGCCAUGCCGCGUGUGUGAAGAAGGUCUUCGGAUUGUAAAGCACUUUAAGUUGGGAGGAAGGGCUGUAGGCUAAUAUCCUGCGGUUUUGACGUUACCAACAGAAUAAGCACCGGCUAACUUCGUGCCAGCAGCCGCGGUAAUACGAAGGGUGCAAGCGUUAAUCGGAAUUACUGGGCGUAAAGCGCGCGUAGGUGGUUCGUUAAGUUGGAUGUGAAAGCCCCGGGCUCAACCUGGGAACUGCAUCCAAAACUGGCGAGCUAGAGUACGGUAGAGGGUAGUGGAAUUUCCUGUGUAGCGGUGAAAUGCGUAGAUAUAGGAAGGAACACCAGUGGCGAAGGCGACUACCUGGACUGAUACUGACACUGAGGUGCGAAAGCGUGGGGAGCAAACAGGAUUAGAUACCCUGGUAGUCCACGCCGUAAACGAUGUCAACUAGCCGUUGGAAUCCUUGAGAUUUUA